ACGACGACCAGAUAGGAAAGGGUUCUCAUUGAUUCUGUGCAUUUGACUGCACUGACGGAAGAGGUUCUAAAUGAAACAGUAACAAUGAGAGUCUCCAGUGUGACAGGGCCCUCCUGUUUAUUGAAAUGAAUUAGGAUACGUGUUGGGAUGGGGGUGAAUCUAUUGCAAAACAUUUUUAAAAAGUUGUAACUCUAUAAACACCAAAUCAGUUGGGUAGCUGUGAAGUUUCCCGAAUGCAAUUUGAAAAACCUGUCGUGUUCUUAAUUUUAAGAAAAAAAAUUAUUUAAUUUUCUCGGUUCCUCUGUGUAAGCUGUUGCCUUGAACAUUGCGUUGGCAGUCAAAGAGCAGUCCACGCGAUAUAACUGCUCAGUCCUGGGUCAGGCAGGCACUAGGUGUAGUGGUAUGAUAUAAAUUAUUGGAGUUUAUUUUCCAAAUGCAACGUAAUUUGGCGACGGUGAAGCGUCCCUUUUUUUCCCCUCUCCUGGAGGGUCGUGCCUUGCAAACGGAUUUAAUCAGCUCGAGUUGCUGUGAGUAAUCUGACGCAGAUAGCAACGGGGGAGCCAGGCCGAUGAAACGGCGGCGGCGUUUUUUUUUGGAACAGCUUGAAGACGGGCUGCAAUAAAGCAAAUCCGCAAUGACCACGUCUGUCUUUUCUGCUCCUGAUCGGGAAUUCCAAAGAGCUGGGUAAAAAGAAAAAUGGACCGAGGGCAGCCAAGAGACAGAGACGUCGAACCAGCCAGGAUGUCAGAUUCGAGCCUCAGCACCGAUUGCAAGGAGCAAAGUUUUCCGGGGCUGUCCUUGCAGAUGAACAGCAAGCUUCAAGCUCGGGAAGGGGCACCUUGUAAAUAAAGACACACACAUACGGGGCGGGGGGGCAUAAACAGAGAGAACUGCGGAUGCUGGAAACCUGAAACAGAACAGAAAGCAGAGGAGAGGCGCUAGAGAAAUUCAGCAGAGGCUAGCAAACAUCUGCGGAAAGAGAGAAAACUGGACCUCUUCGAGUGAAUGUUUUGAGUGACUGUGCAAAGAGAAAGCAACAAAAUCGGUGCAAACUUGUGAUUUCCCUCCUUUCUCUCUCUCCUUAACAAUCCAAUCCCAACCCACAAUCCAGUCACCACCAUCCAGGUUUGUGCCAUGUAAAUACAAGAUAGAGAGAGAUCCCUGGGCAAGGUUUUGCUCCUGGCGUUGGUGUGAAGAUGGUGGAUCCUCUUCCCCUGUGUCAGCCACGGCCAGUUCCGCGGAGAAUCGACCAGGGAAGCGGUCAGGAGCAUGGGUGGCGAGAACCGCCGUUUGCCAGCUCUCUGAAUAAUGUCAACCAGAGACAGUUCUCCCAGGCACUUCAGUGACAAGGCAGCAGCGCAGACCCCGGCCAAGGAGCUGAUCCGGAACCGCAUGAAAAUGGUCAUCGACCAGCUCGAAGUUAUCCUCCAGGAGCUGAAAGAAGUGGCGAAGGAGCUGAAGGAGGUAGUAAAACAGAUCGACAAGCUGACUUCCGAUUUUGAUUUUGAGAUGGAGCCAGAUGACUGGACAAUCGCCACAAUGAGUAGCACCUCCAGCAGUGACACUACAAGAAACCACGACAGAUGUGGGCCCUUUUCCGACUACGGGCAACUCGGAUUCCUGACUCCUGACAUCUUGUCGGACAGUUGGGAAUUCUGCUCCUUCCUGGAGCUUCCAGGAGAGACGAGUAAAGUGGAGGCAGGAAGUGACGACAAGGAGCUCCCACACACCCCAUCCGAGGUGGACUACAGGAUGUUGAACGGAGGAUUGAUCCCCAAUGGGCCUGAGGGCUGUGCUCCUGACACCUCCAGCGAGGACACCAUUAGCAGUGCCCCCAGUCACAAGGCCCUCCUGAGGACCUCUGGCACCAGGGAGCGGGUGCGUUUCAGCGAUAAGGUUCUGUACCAUGCGUUGUGCUGUGACGACGAUGAUGAGAAUGAGGAGCCAGAGACGGAGACAACCGUGGCCCCUACAGCGAGUCCUGGUGCCGGUUCAAGCGAGAGCCACGAGCAGGCCGGCAGCGUUGCGCCCAAAGCAUCGUCCUCGCCCUCUGCCUCCAAACCUCGUCAUCACUGCCCGCCAUCCGCCGUGCCAGCCAAAGGCAAUCCUUCUGCCAGGAAAACAACCAUGAGGAAUAACAGCACACAAACUGUGUCCCACAAAAGCACUCAGACACUCCUGUCAUAUGGGUCCUCUAAGACACAACAGAACUCAAAGAGAGAGGGGCCAAAGUAGCCACCACAUCCUCUGCCCCAUCUUCCCCACCCCACCCCACCCUAGAUGGGAUACUGCUUGACUACCUAUUGGCAUCAUGAGGCUCAGGGAUUUUCAAUAGAAUAUAUUAAGAAAAAAAAUAUCGUUUUACAGAAAAGAUGCAGUACAUACAUGUGAAGGAGGAUUUGAAUCCUCAUCUCCUCAAUCUUAAGGGAAGCCAAAAUCUAAAGGUGUGGAUGAACCUAUGGGCAACUGGAGAAUGAAAAGGAUUAAAAUAUCCUUGGAUGAUGACUAUUUUCUUGCCUAUUCAGACUCUUCUCACAAGCAGAGAGAGCCACACUGAGGCUACAGUGAAUGGUGCUGAAGCCCAGUCCUAGAUCCCUGGUAGCUGUGCAGCAUUUUUCCUAUUAACCGUGCAGAAGCUGCUCAUCACUGGGAUUUUCUGCCUGUGUGCCUGCAAACUGCUGAUUCAGGAAACAAGCAUGGGUCAGCGAGCAGAAAGGCCGAAGAGAAGUGGACAAAUAGCAACUUAUAUAUACAGGGGAUCCCCAGUUUAUGAAUGUUGUGAACACUCGAACUGAUGAACACUAUUCCAUACAGGCACGUAAUGUUAAAAAUUUGACAUAUGAACAUUUCCUGUACUUAGAAACGACUGCUUUAUAUUGUCCCACAUUGUGUUCUGUGUUGCAUACAAGUCGACUCAGGAAUGGAGUCUGACCUCAGUCUGGGGAUUGCCAGUAAUAUAGAGGAACAUCUGAUAUGGCAACAAACUCAUUGUUAAUCGGUAGUAUAGGAGUUGGGCGUGGAAAGGUCCAGGAUGGACAUGUCGUCCAAGGAGUGGGAGGGGGAGUGACUGGGAGGUGCUGAGGUUUAUCGGGAACCGAGCGUAAGUGUUCCACAAAGCACUCCCCAGGCCUCCUGCAGUGCUACCGGAAAGUUGCAGGAACAGCGUCUUAUGGUUCACUUGGGAACCCUGCAGACCAGUAGUAUCAAUGUGGACUUCACAAGCUUCAAAAUCUCCCCUCCCCUGACCACAUCCCAAAACCAGACCAGCUUGUCCCCGCCUCCCUAACCUGUCCUUCCUCCCACCUAUCCCCCCUCCCACCUCAAGCCCUACCCCCAUCUUCUGUCUGCCAGCCUCAAUCUGCUUCCUUGACCUGUCUGUCCUCCCUGGGCUGACUUCUCCCAUCCCUAACUCCCCACCUACACUCACCUUUACUGGCUCCAACCCCACCUCUUUGACCUGUCUGUCUCCUCUCCACCUAUCUUCUCCUUUAUCCAUCUUCUAUCUGCUCCUCCUCUCUCCCUAUUUAUUGCAGAAUCCCCUUCCCCUCCCCAAUUUCUGAAGAAGGGUCUAGGCCUGAAAAGUUAGCUUUCCUGCUCCUAUGAUGCUGCUUGGCCUGCUGUGUUCAUCCAGCUCAACACCUUGUUAUAUUAGAUUCUCCAGCAUCGGCAGAUCCUACUAAAUGUUCUGCUUCUAAAUUUUGCCUUGUUGAAUGCACAUUAAUGACAGCUGUCACCAAUCUCUCACCUGAUCUCUGCACUGCCCCCAUUUGUUACUCUGCCUGAACUUAUACAGAUAAUUAGACAUUUUCUUCAACUAAACAAUGAGAAGACUAAAGUUACCUCUCUGCAGGACCAAGAACAUCCGUUUCCACCUGUGUUACUGUAUCUACAUCGACAGAGCCUUGUGGCGCAAUGGGUCGUAUCACGAAUGCUGGACUCAGAAACUCCAGAUUCAAGUCCCACCUCAGGACUUGUAGGUUACUUGAAAGUACACCACAAUGUGAGCACACAGGUUGAUUGGUAGUCUGUGAAUUAUUCUCAUACUGGCAUGGCGAGGAGGAGAAUCUGGUGGUCAGCACAAAACACAGCAGUGCCGCAGGCAGCAUCAGAAGAGCAGGAAAACUGAUGUUUGUCCCUGAAUGUUGCCACCCAGGUUAAUACGGUUGUUAAGAAGGCGUACGGUGUGUUAGUUUUAUUGGUAAAGGGAUUGUAUUUCGGAGCCAUGAGGUCAUGUUGCAGCUGUACAAAAUUCUGGUGCGGCCGCAGUUGGAGUAUUAUGUACAGUUCUGGUCACUGCAUUAUAGGAAGGAUGUGGAAGCUUUGGAAAGGGUGCAGAGGAGAUUUACCAGAAUGUUGCCUGGGAUAGAGGGAAGGUCUUGUGAGGAAAGGCUGAGGGACUUGAGGCUGUUUUCGUUAGAAAAAGGUGAAGAGGUGACCUAAUAGUGACAUACAAGAUGAUCAGAGGAUGAGAUAGGGUGGACAGUGAGAGCCUUUUUCCUCGGAUGAAGAUGGCUAGCACGAGGGGGCAUAGCUUUAAAUUGAGGUGUGAUAGAUAUAGGACAGAUGUCAGAGGUGGGUUCUUUUCUCAGAGAGUAGUAAGGGCGUGGAAUGCCCUGCCUGCAACAGUAGUAGACACGCCAAGUUUAAGGGCAUUUAAAUGGUAAUUGGAUAAACAUAUGGAUGAUAAUGGAAUAGUGUAGGUUAGAUGGGCUUCAGUUUGGUUUCACAGGUCGGUGCAACGUCGACGGCCGAAGGGACUGUACUGCGCUGUAAUGUUCUAUGUUUCAUGUCCUCUGCACGUUAAAACACUCCACACAGAGAUUCUUGCUAUGAUCAAGUGUCAUCCUUGUGCUGAGGAGCUAUCACAGAUCGUAAGAACUGUUGAUGCUGGAGUCUGAGAUAACACAAUGU